rnacentral:rRNA from 1 species
UACGUAGGGGGUCGAGCGUUGUCCGGAUUCAUUGGGCGUAAAGAGCUCGUAGGCGGUUCAGUAAGUCAGGUGUGAAAUCUCCGCGCUCAACGCGGAGCGGCCACCUGAUACUGCUGUGACUCGAGUCCGGUAGGGGAGUGUGGAAUUCCGGGUGUAGCGGUGGAAUGCGUAGAGAUCCGGAAGAACACCAGUGGCGAAGGCGGCCCGCUGGGCAGUGGCUGACGCUGGAGGC